rnacentral:tRNA from 1 species
GCCGGUGUGUCGGAAUGGCAGACGAAGCAGACUCAAAAUCUGCGGCAGGAAACUGCGUGUGGGUUCAAGUCCCACCACCGGCA